AGUAGAGACGGGGUUUCACCAUGUUGGCCAGGCUGGUCUCAAACUCCUGACCUCAGGUGAUCCAACCACC
rnacentral:miRNA from 1 species